rnacentral:rRNA from 1 species
UGCCAGCAGCCGCGGUAAUACGGAGGGGGCUAGCGUUGUUCGGAAUUACUGGGCGUAAAGCGCGCGUAGGCGGUUCGGCAAGUUAGGUGUGAAAGCCCGGGGCUCAACCCCGGAAUUGCACUUAAAACAGCAAGACUUGAAUACGGUAGAGGAGAGAGGAAUUCCUGGUGUAGAGGUGAAAUUCGUAGAUAUCAGGAGGAACACCGAUGGCGAAGGCAUCUCUCUGGGUCGAUAUUGACGCUGAGGCGCGAAGGCGUGGGUAGCGAACGGGAUUAGAUA